UACGCGACGGGAAUCUGUGAAUCGUGUCAGGUCGGGAACGAAGCAGCACUAAGCAGAACCUUCCGGGUGCCGUAAGGGUGCCUGGGCUGAGUUAACUGUCAAGGUAACGUCCGGGAAUCCCUGUUCGAAGCGCAAUG
rnacentral:SRP_RNA from 1 species